rnacentral:rRNA from 1 species
CCUACGGGUGACUGCAGUGGGGAAUAUUGCACAAUGGGGGAAACCCUGAUGCAGCGACGCCGCGUGAGUGAAGAAGUAUUUCGGUAUGUAAAGCUCUAUCAGAAGGGAAGAAAAUGACGGUACCUGACUAAGAAGCCCCGGCUAACUACGUGCCAGCAGCCGCGGUAAUACGUAGGGGGCAAGCGUUAUCCGGAUUUACUGGGUGGAAAGGGAGCGUAGACGGCCAGACAAGUCAGAAGUGAAAGCCCAGGGCUCAACCCUGGGACUGCUUUUGAAACUGUCGGGCUGGAGUGCGGGAGAGGUAAGCGAACUUCCUAGUGUAGCGGUGAAAUGCGUAGAUAUUAGGCGGAACCCCAGUGGCGCAGGCGGCUUACUGGACUGUAACUGACGUUGCGGCUCGAAAGCGUGGGGAGCAAACAGGAUUAGAUACCCCAGUAGUC